CAGAGGGAUCUGGGUGUCCUAGUGCAUGAAUCACAAAAGGCUCGUGUGCAGGUACAGCAGACAAAAGCAGCAAAAAUCUGAAUGUUGCUACAUAAGGGACUGGGUGCUACAGUCCUGGAAAUCUCUACAGAUACCAGCAUCUCUUUCAAACCAUCCACCAAACCUGUACUCAGGUCGAGCAGCUGGCUGAUAUUGCAGUUCUGAACAUGCGUGGUUCCAGUAGCUGGGCGAUGGGGAACAGAGCUCAAUCCCUGUUGUUCCCUGCUUCUUGUCAAUACAAUUACGAGGAGAGCUAGCAUACUCACAGCCGCCUCAAUUGUGUAUCAGAAACUUGUGUAAUCUUUCAAGUAACGACAGUGACGAAAGGAGGGCUUGGUCUGAAGAUUGUGAGGUAAAUGCCUGAUCCUGGUACAUUAUACACCAACCAAUUGUAUGCUGAAAAUGUCAGACUCUCUUUCGCUCCUAUAAACCUGGUCACUUCAGCCCA